AUUGAACGCUGGCGGCAUGCCUUACACAUGCAAGUCGAACGGUAGAGGGGGCAACCCCUUGAGAGUGGCGAACGGGUGAGUAAUGCAUCGGAACGUGCCCAGUCGUGGGGGAUAGCCCGGGGAAACCCGGAUUAAUACCGCAUACGACCUGAGGGUGAAAGCGGGGGACCGAAAGGCCUCGCGCGAUUGGAGCGGCCGAUGUCGGAUUAGGUAGUUGGUGGGGUAAAGGCCUACCAAGCCUGCGAUCCGUAGCUGGUCUGAGAGGACGACCAGCGAAACUGGGACUGAGACACGGCCCAGACUCCUACGGGAGGCAGCAGUGGGGAAUUUUGGACAAUGGGCGCAAGCCUGAUCCAGCCAUGCCGCGUGCGGGAAGAAGGCCUUCGGGUUGUAAACCGCUUUUGUCAGAGAAGAAAUCCUUUGGACUAAUACUCUGGGGGGAUGACGGUACCUGAAGAAUAAGCACCGGCUAACUACGUGCCAGCAGCCGCCGUAA
rnacentral:rRNA from 1 species